rnacentral:snRNA from 1 species
GUGCUCCCUUCGGUGGCACAAAUGCUAAAAUUGGAACAAUACAGAGAAGAACAGUAACCCCCCUGCACAAGGAUGACGUACAAAUUUGUGACCCAGUCUAUGUUUUU